rnacentral:misc_RNA from 1 species
ACACCUCAACUCAUUGUGGUUUUCCAUGAUGAGCUUGGACUUUGGGGGUUUUGCUGGCCUACGGUCGGCUCCUCUAAAAUAAAUCAGCUCACUGGUGUUUGGUGGGUAUCAUGGGUGUGAUAACUAUCUACGCUUAUGGUUUUCCACCAGGUAACCUUCAUCAGUGGAGGUUCACUGGAGCUCAUAGAUGUCUCUCCUCAGUGAGGACAGCCCUUUGAAU